CUGCAGCUUAUUAAGCCGACCAGUUGUGCUUCGAUGCACUUGUGGUGUGCAAAAGCUGCAGACAGUAACUCUGUGGUUGUGUAUGUGCUCAGCUGGGAGGUGCUGAGCGCUUUAAGGGACCACUGAAACAAAG
rnacentral:snoRNA from 1 species